rnacentral:rRNA from 1 species
ACGGAAGGUCCGGGCGUUAUCCGGAUUUAUUGGGUUUAAAGGGAGCGUAGGCCGUUUGUUAAGCGUGUUGUGAAAUGUCGGGGCUCAACCUGGGCAUUGCAGCGCGAACUGGCAGACUUGAGUGCGCGGGAAGUAGGCGGAAUUCGUCGUGUAGCGGUGAAAUGCUUAGAUAUGACGAAGAACUCCGAUUGCGAAGGCAGCCUGCUGUAGCGUAACUGACGCUGAAGCUCGAAAGCGUGGGUAUCGAACAG